rnacentral:rRNA from 1 species
GUGAGGAAUAUUGGACAAUGGAUGGAAAUCUGAUCCAACCAUGCCGCGUGCAGGAAGACGGCCCUAUGGGUUGUAAACUGCUUUUAUACGGGAGCAAUAAGGUCUAUGCAUAGAUUGAUGAGAGUACCGUAUGAAUAAGCAUCGGCUAACUCCGUGCCAGCAGCCGCGGUAAUACGGAGGAUGCGAGCGUUAUCCGGAUUUAUUGGGGUUAAAGGGUUCGUAGGCGGCUUUGUAAGUCAGCGGUGAAAUUUUGCAGCUUAACUGUAAAAGCGCCGGUGAUACUGUGAAGCUAGGAUUUGGUUGCUGUGGGCGGAAUGUGUGGUGUAGCGGUGAAAUGCAUAGAGAUCACACAGAAUAUCGAUUGCGAAGGCAGCUCACAAAGCCAAUAUUGACGCUGAGGCACGAAAGUGUGGGGAUCAAACAGGAUUAGAUACCCGGGUAGUCC